GGACAAAUCAACAUUUACUAUUUUUGGGCUCUCUGCUGCAAUUUGUUGCUUAAAUUUGCCGCUGCGAAGUGUUAAAACUGAUGCAAAGGGUAACACAAUGCCCACCAAUUACGGAAAAGGAUAUACACAAGAGAAUCAAGAUUUAUGCAAAGAAAAGUUUGGAAACUGGUACUAUGAAUGCCACAAAUUAGGAAGAAUUCUAAUAGGCAUGGUAUUUGGAUCCAAUUAGCUCUCUUGACUCCCAUGGAUUAUAUUCUAGAAAUAUCUGCUGGAUUCCUAAGUUGCAUCACAUACACAGGGGGGGGGGAAAUAGUGUCUACAACUGAUCUUCACGUAUGUAAUAUUUUAUGAUCCACCCACAUUUGAAUGCAUCAUUUCUCUCUGACUUCUGGGUGUUCACUGGAGGAAGUAAAAUUGCCCCUUAAGAGACCUGAGUGGGUCAGCAAACUAAAUCAAAAGCAGCCACUCCCUGACAUGGAUACAGUUGUCCCGGCAAUUAAUAGCGCAUAUGCUGCAAAAACAUCAUUUGAGAGUCAUUUGCUUGUUGUGGCUGGUUUCUAUUGUGUGGCAUGGAGCCAUGUUUGUAGCUUCUUUCUGCACUUUAUUUUAUAUAGUUCUUCAGUUCUGUCAUGGCCUUCUGAGCUACCGAUCAGAUUCAUUGGGUUACAAGAUCUUAGCAAGGGUAUGCAGACAUACAUGGAAGAAUGUCCAUAUCUGCAGCUAUCAGCUUCUAUAUUAGUCAACCGUUGGUCAAUCUAGUGCUUCAGGUAGCCAGAUGAUUUGAAAUACUUUAUGGAUGGCUAGAGGAUUUAUAAUUCAGGUCUCAAGCAAGUGUGGAUAUGUAGAGAGGUCAAGUGUAGCUGUUGAUAUUCUUUUGGGAAAUUUGGAUGGCUCUAUGUUGUUAGUCAUGAACAAUUUGGUUCAGGUUUCAAACUGAAUAUGGAGCUAGCAGGUAAAAUUAGUAUAUAGACACACAACUCUGAUCCAUAUCCAUAUCCAUAUCCGCAGCUGUCAGCUUCUGCAUUGAUCAACCGUUGGUCAAUCUGGUGGUUUCAGGUAAUCUCACAACUUUUCUCAGAUUGGUCAAUCUGGUGGUUUCAGGUAAUCUCACAACUUUUCUCAGAAUAUAGUUUUAUAAUGAUCCAGUUGAACCAGAACCAUGACUUGCAUGGUACAGAGGCAUCUCUUACCUCUUGGAGAUCAUUCUUUCAAGAGGUAACAAAAGAUGAUGGAAUGCUUGGAAAAAUUGUGCCAUGCAAAAUGCAUGACCUGGUGCAAGUUUGAUCGUAGAUUUUUCUUCUUUAUGUAGCAAGAUAAUCCAAGAGAAGCUUGGCAAAAUGAAGAUUGGCAAAAUAUGUCGGGGAUCUAAUUUUCAAUGACAUCAGAGAGGCUUCAAUUCUUCUUUAAUGUCAUGUGAGGAUUCUUCGGUUGAUGAGCUUCUAAUGCAAAGACAACUUGAUUUUUCAACCUUCUUCCUUGGGCUGGAAUUGGCGAAAUAGAAAGGAGCUAUUCAUUUAUGGAUGCAUGGAAAAUGAUUCAAGUGCAAUGUUUAUUUGUAUUACUAAUCAAACAAUCCCAUGGAGAUUCCGGCAAAAAUGGGAUUAUUACAAGCCUUUUCCAACAUUCAGUCUCUUGGAGGAUGUCGCACUCUGACAGGGAAAUGAAUUCAGUGGCGGAUACAAUGGCUAAAAAAAGUGCCCCUCUUUGGUUUUUUUAUUUUUAUUUCCUAGGUUGUUUGGGAAUCUGUUUAUUUAUUUAUUUUUUAUCUUAAUAUGUUGGUUGGCUCAUGGAGCUGCUGAUGGCCAUGCCGAAGGUGGUUCCUUGGGUAUUUCAGUUUUUGGUUUGUCUUUUAGUUUCUGCUGAUGGCUAUACUGAAGGUGGAACUAUUAGACAUCAUAUAUUUUUUUUGUUAUCCAUUCGGAUAUGUCUGGACAUUUUAAGUUGUACAGCCUCAUCUAUUUUACUA